CGUUCAGUCCUCAAACCUCCCAGUUACUUUUUUUUCCCGUUCUUUUGGUUCUUUGCCAGUCUAUCUUUAUUA